rnacentral:rRNA from 1 species
GGGUUGUGAGGUUAAGCGACUAAGCGUACACGGUGGAUGCCCUGGCAGUCAGAGGCGAUGAAGGACGUGCUAAUCUGCGAUAAGCGUCGGUAAGGUGAUAUGAACCGUUAUAACCGGCGAUUUCCGAAUGGGGAAACCCAGUGUGAUUCGUCACACUAUCAUUAACUGAAUCCAUAGGUUAAUGAGGCGAACCGGGGGAACUGAAACAUCUAAGUACCCCGAGGAAAAGAAAUCAACCGAGAUUCCCCCAGUAGCGGCGAGCGAACGGGGAGCAGCCCAGAGCCUGAAUCAGUAUGUGUGUUAGUGGAAGCGUCUGGAAAGGCGCGCGAUACAGGGUGACAGCCCCGUACACAAAAAUGCACAUGCUGUGAGCUCGAUGAGUAGGGCGGGACACGUGGUAUCCUGUCUGAAUAUGGGGGGACCAUCCUCCAAGGCUAAAUACUCCUGACUGACCGAUAGUGAACCAGUACCGUGAGGGAAAGGCGAAAAGAACCCCGGCGAGGGGAGUGAAAAAGAACCUGAAACCGUGUACGUACAAGCAGUGGGAGCACGCUUAGGCGUGUGACUGCGUACCUUUUGUAUAAUGGGUCAGCGACUUAUAUUCUGUAGCAAGGUUAACCGAAUAGGGGAGCCGAAGGGAAACCGAGUCUUAACUGGGCGUUAAGUUGCAGGGUAUAGACCCGAAACCCGGUGAUCUAGCCAUGGGCAGGUUGAAGGUUGGGUAACACUAACUGGAGGACCGAACCGACUAAUGUUGAAAAAUUAGCGGAUGACUUGUGGCUGGGGGUGAAAGGCCAAUCAAACCGGGAGAUAGCUGGUUCUCCCCGAAAGCUAUUUAGGUAGCGCCUCGUGAAUUCAUCUCCGGGGGUAGAGCACUGUUUCGGCAAGGGGGUCAUCCCGACUUACCAACCCGAUGCAAACUGCGAAUACCGGAGAAUGUUAUCACGGGAGACACACGGCGGGUGCUAACGUCCGUCGUGAAGAGGGAAACAACCCAGACCGCCAGCUAAGGUCCCAAAGUCAUGGUUAAGUGGGAAACGAUGUGGGAAGGCCCAGACAGCCAGGAUGUUGGCUUAGAAGCAGCCAUCAUUAAAGAAAGCGUAAUAGCUCACUGGUCGAGUCGGCCUGCGCGGAAGAUGUAACGGGGCUAAACCAUGCACCGAAGCUGCGGCAGCGACGCUGAUGCGUUGUUGGGUAGGGGAGCGUUCUGUAAGCCUGUGAAGGUGUGCUGUGAGGCAUGCUGGAGGUAUCAGAAGUGCGAAUGCUGACAUAAGUAACGAUAAAGCGGGUGAAAAGCCCGCUCGCCGGAAGACCAAGGGUUCCUGUCCAACGUUAAUCGGGGCAGGGUGAGUCGACCCCUAAGGCGAGGCCGAAAGGCGUAGUCGAUGGGAAACAGGUUAAUAUUCCUGUACUUGGUGUUACUGCGAAGGGGGGACGGAGAAGGCUAUGUUGGCCGGGCGACGGUUGUCCCGGUUUAAGCGUGUAGGCUGGUUUUCCAGGCAAAUCCGGAAAAUCAAGGCUGAGGCGUGAUGACGAGGCACUACGGUGCUGAAGCAACAAAUGCCCUGCUUCCAGGAAAAGCCUCUAAGCAUCAGGUAACAUCAAAUCGUACCCCAAACCGACACAGGUGGUCAGGUAGAGAAUACCAAGGCGCUUGAGAGAACUCGGGUGAAGGAACUAGGCAAAAUGGUGCCGUAACUUCGGGAGAAGGCACGCUGAUAUGUAGGUGAAGUCCCUCGCGGAUGGAGCUGAAAUCAGUCGAAGAUACCAGCUGGCUGCAACUGUUUAUUAAAAACACAGCACUGUGCAAACACGAAAGUGGACGUAUACGGUGUGACGCCUGCCCGGUGCCGGAAGGUUAAUUGAUGGGGUUAGCGCAAGCGAAGCUCUUGAUCGAAGCCCCGGUAAACGGCGGCCGUAACUAUAACGGUCCUAAGGUAGCGAAAUUCCUUGUCGGGUAAGUUCCGACCUGCACGAAUGGCGUAAUGAUGGCCAGGCUGUCUCCACCCGAGACUCAGUGAAAUUGAACUCGCUGUGAAGAUGCAGUGUACCCGCGGCAAGACGGAAAGACCCCGUGAACCUUUACUAUAGCUUGACACUGAACAUUGAGCCUUGAUGUGUAGGAUAGGUGGGAGGCUUUGAAGUGUGGACGCCAGUCUGCAUGGAGCCGACCUUGAAAUACCACCCUUUAAUGUUUGAUGUUCUAACGUUGACCCGUAAUCCGGGUUGCGGACAGUGUCUGGUGGGUAGUUUGACUGGGGCGGUCUCCUCCUAAAGAGUAACGGAGGAGCACGAAGGUUGGCUAAUCCUGGUCGGACAUCAGGAGGUUAGUGCAAUGGCAUAAGCCAGCUUGACUGCGAGCGUGACGGCGCGAGCAGGUGCGAAAGCAGGUCAUAGUGAUCCGGUGGUUCUGAAUGGAAGGGCCAUCGCUCAACGGAUAAAAGGUACUCCGGGGAUAACAGGCUGAUACCGCCCAAGAGUUCAUAUCGACGGCGGUGUUUGGCACCUCGAUGUCGGCUCAUCACAUCCUGGGGCUGAAGUAGGUCCCAAGGGUAUGGCUGUUCGCCAUUUAAAGUGGUACGCGAGCUGGGUUUAGAACGUCGUGAGACAGUUCGGUCCCUAUCUGCCGUGGGCGCUGGAGAACUGAGGGGGGCUGCUCCUAGUACGAGAGGACCGGAGUGGACGCAUCACUGGUGUUCGGGUUGUCAUGCCAAUGGCACUGCCCGGUAGCUAAAUGCGGAAGAGAUAAGUGCUGAAAGCAUCUAAGCACGAAACUUGCCCCGAGAUGAGUUCUCCCUGACUCCUUGAGAGUCCUGAAGGAACGUUGAAGACGACGACGUUGAUAGGCCGGGUGUGUAAGCGCAGCGAUGCGUUGAGCUAACCGGUACUAAUGAACCGUGAGGCUUAACCUUACAACGCCGAAGGUGUUU